UACGGGGGGAGCAAGCGUUGUUCGGAUUUACUGGGCGUAAAGGGCGCGUAGGCGGCCACUGCAAGUCAGUUGUGAAAUCUCCGGGCUUAACCCGGAAAGGUCAACUGAUACUGCAGGGCUAGAGUGCAGAAGGGGCAACUGGAAUUCUCGGUGUAGCGGUGAAAUGCGUAGAUAUCGAGAGGAACACCUGUGGCGAAAGCGGCUCACUGGACCAUUACUGACGCUGAGGCGCGAAAGCUAGGGGAGCAAACAGG
rnacentral:rRNA from 1 species